GACGAACGCUGGCGGCGUGCUUAACACAUGCAAGUCGAACGGAAAGGCCCUGCUUUUGUGGGGUGCUCGAGUGGCGAACGGGUGAGUAACACGUGAGUAACCUGCCCUUGACUUUGGGAUAACUUCAGGAAACUGGGGCUAAUACCGGAUAGGAGCUCCUGCUGCAUGGUGGGGGUUGGAAAGUUUCGGCGGUUGGGGAUGGACUCGCGGCUUAUCAGCUUGUUGGUGGGGUAGUGGCUUACCAAGGCUUUGACGGGUAGCCGGCCUGAGAGGGUGACCGGCCACAUGGGGACUGAGGGACGGCCCAGACGCCUACGGGAGGCAGAAGGGGGGAAUAUUGCACAAUGGGCGGAAGCCUGAGGCAGCAACGCCGCGUGCGGAAUGCCGGCUUUCGGGUUGAAAACCGCUUUCGCCGGUGACGAAGCGGGAGUGACGGUAAUGGGUAAAGAAGCACCGGCUAACUACGUG
rnacentral:rRNA from 1 species